rnacentral:rRNA from 1 species
GAUGAACGCUGGCGGCGUGCCUAAUACAUGCAAGUCGAGCGAACAGACGAGGAGUUUGCUCCUCUGACGUUAGCGGCGGACGGGUGAGUAACACGUGGAUAACCUACCUAUAAGACUGGGAUAACUUCGGGAAACCGGAGCUAAUAUCGGAUAAUAUAUUGAACCGCAUGGUUCCAUAGUGAAAGACGUAUUUGCUGUUACUUAUUGAUGGCUCCGAGUCGCAUUAGCUAGUUGGUAAGGUAACGGCCUACCAAGGCGAGGAUGCGUAGCUGGUCAGAGAGGGUAAUCAGCCACACUGGAACUGAGACACGGUCCAGACUCCUACGGGAGGCAGCAGUAGGGAAUCUUCCGCAAUGGGCGAAAGCCUGACGGAGCAACGCCGCGUGAGUGAUGAAGGUCUUCGGAUCGUAAAACUCUGUUAGUAGGGAAGAACAAAAGUGUAAGUAACUAUGCACGUCUUGACGGUACCUAAUCAGAAAGCCACGGCUAACUACGUG